rnacentral:rRNA from 1 species
AAGAGGUCCAGCCUGCCCAGUGACCCAGUUCAACGGCCGCGGUAUCCUAACCGUGCGAAGGUAGCGUAAUCACUUGUUCUUUAAAUGGGGACUAGUAUGAAUGGCAUCACGAGGGUUGAACUGUCUCCUUUCUCUAAUCAGUGAAACUAAUCUCCCCGUGAAGAAGCGGGAAUCAUUUUAUAAGACGAGAAGACCCUAUGGAGCUUAAAACAAAUUGACACAUGCUUCCACCUACUUCAAUUCCUGAAUAAAUAUACAAAAUAUAGCAUCAUUGAUUAAUAGUUUUAGAUUGGGGUGAUCAUGGAGCAAAAAACAACCUCCACGACGAAAAGGAAUAUUCCCUGAGCCAAAAGCCACAACUUUAAGCACUAAAAAAUUAACGCAUCUUGACCCA